rnacentral:tRNA from 1 species
CCGGGUGUGGCGCAGCUUGGUAGCGCGCUUGAAUGGGGUUCAAGAGGCCGCAGGUUCAACUCCUGUCACUCGGACCA